rnacentral:rRNA from 1 species
AGAGUUUGAUCAUGGCUCAGAUUGAACGCUGGCGGCAGGCCUAACACAUGCAAGUCGAACGGUAACAGGAAGAAGCUUGCUUCUUUGCUGACGAGUGGCGGACGGGUGAGUAAUGUCUGGGAAACUGCCUGAUGGAGGGGGAUAACUACUGGAAACGGUAGCUAAUACCGCAUAACGUCGCAAGACCAAAGAGGGGGACCUUCGGGCCUCUUGCCAUCGGAUGUGCCCAGAUGGGAUUAGCUAGUAGGUGGGGUAACGGCUCACCUAGGCGACGAUCCCUAGCUGGUCUGAGAGGAUGACCAGCCACACUGGAACUGAGACACGGUCCAGACUCCUACGGGAGGCAGCAGUGGGGAAUAUUGCACAAUGGGCGCAAGCCUGAUGCAGCCAUGCCGCGUGUAUGAAGAAGGCCUUCGGGUUGUAAAGUACUUUCAGCGGGGAGGAAGGGAGUAAAGUUAAUACCUUUGCUCAUUGACGUUACCCGCAGAAGAAGCACCGGCUAACUCCGUGCCAGCAGCCGCGGUAAUACGGAGGGUGCAAGCGUUAAUCGGAAUUACUGGGCGUAAAGCGCACGCAGGCGGUUUGUUAAGUCAGAUGUGAAAUCCCCGGGCUCAACCUGGGAACUGCAUCUGAUACUGGCAAGCUUGAGUCUCGUAGAGGGGGGUAGAAUUCCAGGUGUAGCGGUGAAAUGCGUAGAGAUCUGGAGGAAUACCGGUGGCGAAGGCGGCCCCCUGGACGAAGACUGACGCUCAGGUGCGAAAGCGUGGGGAGCAAACAGGAUUAGAUACCCUGGUAGUCCACGCCGUAAACGAUGAUUACUAGGUGUGGGGGGACUGACCCCUUCCGUGCCGGAGUUAACACAAUAAGUAAUCCACCUGGGGAGUACGACCGCAAGGUUGAAACUCAAAGGAAUUGACGGGGGCCCGCACAAGCGGUGGAGCAUGUGGUUUAAUUCGAUGCAACGCGAAGAACCUUACCUGGUCUUGACAUCCACGGAAGUUUUCAGAGAUGAGAAUGUGCCUUCGGGAACCGUGAGACAGGUGCUGCAUGGCUGUCGUCAGCUCGUGUUGUGAAAUGUUGGGUUAAGUCCCGCAACGAGCGCAACCCUUAUCCUUUGUUGCCAGCGGUCCGGCCGGGAACUCAAAGGAGACUGCCAGUGAUAAACUGGAGGAAGGUGGGGAUGACGUCAAGUCAUCAUGGCCCUUACGACCAGGGCUACACACGUGCUACAAUGGCGCAUACAAAGAGAAGCGACCUCGCGAGAGCAAGCGGACCUCAUAAAGUGCGUCGUAGUCCGGAUUGGAGUCUGCAACUCGACUCCAUGAAGUCGGAAUCGCUAGUAAUCGUGGAUCAGAAUGCCACGGUGAAUACGUUCCCGGGCCUUGUACACACCGCCCGUCACACCAUGGGAGUGGGUUGCAAAAGAAGUAGGUAGCUUAACCUUCGGGAGGGCGCUUACCACUUUGUGAUUCAUGACUGGGGUGAAGUCGUAACAAGGUAACCGUAGGGGAACCUGCGGUUG